GCGGAAGUGGCGGAAUUGGUAGACGCACCAGAUUUAGGUUCUGGCGCCGCAAGGUGUGAGAGUUCAAGUCACUCAUUCCGCACCA
rnacentral:tRNA from 1 species